GAGGGUUGAUAGGUUAAGAGCUGAUUGACUGGACGUUACCCACAGAAGAAGCACCGGCUAACUCCGUGCCAGCAGCCGCGGUAAUACGGAGGGUGCGAGCGUUAAUCGGAAUUACUGGGCGUAAAGAGUGCGUAGGUGGUUAAUUAAGUUAUGUGUAAAAUCCCUGGGCUCAACCUGGGCAGGUCAUAUAAUACUGAUUAACUCGAGUAUGGGAGAGGGUAGUGGAAUUUCCGGUGUAGCGGUGAAAUGCGUAGAGAUCGGAAGGAACACCAGUGGCGAAGGCGGCUACCUGGCCUAAUACUGACACUGAGGCACGAAAGCGUGGGGAGCAAACAGGAUUAGAUACCCUGGUAGUCCACGCCGUAAACGAUGUCAACUAGCUGUUGGUUAUAUAAAAUGUGAUUAGUGGCGAAGCAAACGCGAUAAGUUGACCA
rnacentral:rRNA from 1 species